CUAAUGUCUAGAAUAGAUGGCUUGCCUCACAGAGACAACACUAACACUGGUUUGAUGAUCAAAGCAAGGAAAUCAAACAGCAGACUAAAUUGUCCAGGUAUAUCUUUGUCAGCAGCAUGAAAAUGGACUAAUACAGUCACAAACACAUAGAACUUAGCAAUUGAUGAAACUUACACAUACAGGAAAAGAAGCUUUAAUAACCAGAAUAGAUUCACUGAGAAUAAUUCAAAAUAUCACUCGUUUGCCUGAGGAAAAUUCACAUCUUAAUUACUUUGAGGAAAUCUCCAAGUGCACUGACAUUAUCAAUAGGUUCUUUUACCAUGUGAUGCCUUCUGCCAUGCGAGAAAGCCCUCACCAGAUGCAAUCCCUCAGUCUUGAAUUUUCCAGCCUCCAGAAUCAUGAGACAAAUUUAUAUUAUUUAUAAAUUACCCAGUCUGUGGUAUUCUGUUAUGGCAACAGAAAACAGACUAAGACACCAAUCUAUUGAAGCCUAAUAAAGUAAAAACUUCUGUAUUGAAAAUAAAAUAUCUUGGGGGGAGUUUGUUUAAUAAAAAUGGAGCUAUAAUUAUUGUUGUAGCUAUAAAUUAUUACCAAGAGUCCUCUAGCUAAUUUGAAGGCUUUAAUGUGUCUAUAGUUAGAAAUGAGAAAUUUACUGCAAUAAACUACGUAGUAUCUGUUGCUCUUUGAAAACAAAGAAAUCUGUUGUAUGGCAGCCGUAUAGCCCUGGAGCAUCCUGAUGAACUGUAAACAAUCCAGGCUCUACUGUGUGUGGGGUAAAAAAAAAAAAAAAAAAAUUAGCUGAUGUUUAAUAUAGAAUUGUAUUCUAGCCGUGUAACCAAAGGCUUUAAAAGCACCUUUUCCUUCUCUUUCAGAGGCUGGUAUUAAUAAAAUUACUUGGUAAUUUGGCAGUUGUAAAUUGUGACCCUCUGUCAGUGGCUAGGUCACAGAUGUCUCCCUCCUUUCCUUUUUAAACACUGAUGGGUUCAACACAGUAAACAUUGACUUCAUAAAUAAGCAGAGUCAGAGUACUAGGUUCUAGUCACUUCCAUAAUGGAAAGUAAGCAGAGCAAUUUAAUAGUGGGUGUGGGAAGUGGAAGGAGGGGGAACCAGGAUCAUAGUCAAGCAAAUAAUGGAAUGAAUACCCUAUUUAAGUAUGCCAGACAUACUCGUGUAAAAGAAGCUUGUGGGUCACCAGAUACUACAGGAAUGGCAUGCUGGGUUGAUCCCAUAAUUAAGGGAGAAGACAUAAGUCAGGAGCAUCUCAGACCAAAUGUCUUGCGCUACUAUACACUAUAAUUAUUACUCUUAUGAGUCUUACUUCAAUAGGCACUUUGCACUGAUGAUAUGAAAUGCCUUCUCCUUUCAGUAUCAAAAGUUAAAGAGUAAAGUGUAUGGAAGAUUGGAGAGUCAGCUAAUA
rnacentral:lncRNA from 1 species